GUCUAUAGCUGUGCCACCCUGAACGUACCCAAUCUCGUCUGAUCUUGGAAGCUAAGCAGGGUUGGGCCUGGUUGGUACUUGGAUGGGAGACCACCUUGGAAUACCAGGUGCUGUAGAUG
rnacentral:rRNA from 1 species